rnacentral:tRNA from 1 species
GCGGACGUAGCUCAGUUGGUAGAGCGCAAGCUUCCCAAGCUUGAGGUCGCGGGUUCGAGACCCGUCGUCCGCU